UACGUAGGUGACAAGCGUUGUCCGGAUUUACUGGGCGUAAAGAGCGCGCAGGCGGUCGAUCAAGUCGAGUGUGAAAGCCCCCGGCUCAACUGGGGAGGGUCAUUCGAUACUGAUCGACUCGAAGGCAGGAGAGGGUAGUGGAAUUCCCGGUGUAGUGGUGAAAUGCGUAGAGAUCCGGAGGAAUACCUGAGGCGAAGGCGGCCAGCUGGGCCUGAUCUGACGCUGAGGUGCGAAAGCGUGGGGAGCGAACAGG
rnacentral:rRNA from 1 species